rnacentral:tRNA from 1 species
GCCUGGAUGGCGGAACUGGUAGACGCAAGGGACUUAAAAUCCCUUGGGGCUUUGCUCCGUGAGGGUUCGAGUCCCUCUCCAGGCACCA